GGCGAACGCUGGCGGCGUGCUUAACACAUGCAAGUCGAACGGAAAGGCCCUGCUUUUGUGGGGUGCUCGAGUGGCGAACGGGUGAGUAACACGUGAGUAACCUGCCCUUGACUUUGGGAUAACUUCAGGAAACUGGGGCUAAUACCGGAUAGGAGCUCCUGCUGCAUGGUGGGGGUUGGAAAGUUUCGGCGGUUGGGGAUGGACUCGCGGCUUAUCAGCUUGUUGGUGGGGUAGUGGCUUACCAAGGCUUUGACGGGUAGCCGGCCUGAGAGGGUGACCGGCCACAUUGGGACUGAGAUACGGCCCAGACUCCUACGGGAGGCAGCAGUGGGGAAUAUUGCACAAUGCGCGGAAGCCUGAUGCAGCAACGCCGCGUGCGGGAUGACGGCCUUCGGGUUGUAAACCGCUUUCGCCUGUGACGAAGCGUGAGUGACGGUAAUGGGUAAAGAAGCACCGGCUAACUACGUG
rnacentral:rRNA from 1 species